ACAAAGAAGAGUUCCGAGAUAAUGUCAAUCCCAGAGAAAAUUCAGGAGCCACGAAAUGUUGAUUUGGCGGCUGCAGGCCGAGGCGUGUGGCUUGUUAAGGUACCAAAGUAUUUACAGGAGAGAUGGGAGAAGAACAAAUCAACAAAAACAGAAGUGGGAAAGAUGAGAAUUACACGAUCCAGGUAGCGCAUGUUUUUCUGCACUGUAAAUUGCACCUUUUUUUAACAUGAUCAGAGCUGUACUUCCCUGGUCAUCCAUCCAAUUUUUUUCAGACUGGGAGGUACAACCCUGCAGCUAGAAUGUGUGGCAUUGUUCUCUAGUUGUUUAAACCUUUCACAUUCAGGACCUUUUACUCAUUUUCAUGGAAAAAUAAUCUUUGAAAAUCACUUCAUGCGUAAAAUUUGGAAACCUAACUACACAAGAAUAAUAUAUGAAAAUUUCUGUAUAUAUUUUUUAUGAUUCUUUACGUUUUGUUUACUAGUAUUUCAAUUUUUAAACAUUAGACUUAAUAUCUGUCAACUAUGAAUGAUGCUUUAUUGAUGUGGAAAAUUGUUUACUGGUCACAUUUGACUGAUACAAAUUUGAAAGAGUUAUAAAAAGAAUUCUUUUAUUUGUUAAUGAAAAAUAAAGUGAAUUAUGUCAGCAAAGGUACAGUUAGAAGCAGGUAUAAACUUAAUAACCUGUAGGUCAUUUUGAUGUAGAACAUAAGAUGGAGAGCUGAUUGAUUCUGUGAUAAUAUUUGUAGAUUUCCUGGACAGAAACCAAAAGUUACUUUCACUAUUGAUGAGGAGUUGGCGAAAGGGUCACCGGGAGAAAUGCCCAUUCCCCGGGAGCACAACAUGAUCCUGACAGGGCUGGGCAACCAGAACCUCGUGGUCUUUUCACAAACACCUGUCACCGUCAAACAAGAAUCUAGCUCAGGGUCAGUGGAUGUGGUAGCUUCAGACAGGAUAGCUGUGGAGGGCAAGGUCAUACAGAGGGCGGACUGUCAGCCAGACAAAACCAUAAGCUACAUGAAUCUCAAAAGAAAGCAGCUUGAAAUCAAGAACAAACCUCAGAGAGAAGUUAUACAGAUCACCAAAGUGGUCCCAAUGUAUAAGCCGGUCAACAACCACGUCCACAAUGCUCCUUCGUCAGAUAAAAACAAAGUGGAGAAGAGGCUGAGGGAGGAUAAAGAGAAAGUGAUGGACAUCUUGUUUAAUGCAUUUGAGAAACACCAGUAUUACAACGUCAAAGACCUGGUCACCCUCACCAAACAGCCGAUAACUUAUCUGAAAGAGAUACUGAAGGAGAUAUGCACCUACAACAUGAAGGCGCCUCAUCGCAACAUGUGGGAGCUCAAGCCUGAGUACCGGCACUACAAAGAACAGCAGUCCUCCGGAUGACCUUCAGUUACCGACCAGGGUCAAGGUCGUCUGCACAUUUUGUCAUGCAGUUUUGAUUUCUCUUUUCAAAACUUUACAAAACAUCAUUUUCAUGUUUAUUUACAUCCCAGUCUGGACUAUAAAGGAGUGUCCUGCAGGUUUUGGGACAGUGCAACUGUAAUACAAGUCAUUGUUAUUAAAACUUGAAAAAAC
rnacentral:misc_RNA from 1 species